CCGCGGUGCAUUGCUGUUGCAUUGCAUGUGUGUGAGGCGGGUGCAGUGCCUCGGCAGUGCAGCCCGG
ensembl:miRNA microRNA 33b